rnacentral:rRNA from 1 species
GACGAACGCUGGCGGCGUGCCUAAUACAUGCAAGUUGAGCGCUGAAGGUUGGUACUUGUACCAACUGGAUGAGCAGCGAACGGGUGAGUAACGCGUGGGGAAUCUGCCUUUGAGCGGGGGACAAUAUUUGGAAACGAAUGCUAAUACCGCAUAAAAACUUUAAACACAAGUUUUAAGUUUGAAAGAUGCAAUUGCAUCACUCAAAGAUGAUCCCGCGUUGUAUUAGCUAGUUGGUGAGGUAAAGGCUCACCAAGGCGAUGAUACAUAGCCGACCUGAGAGGGUGAUCAGCCACAUUGGGACUGAGACACGGCCCAAACUCCUACGGGAGGCAGCAGUAGGGAAACUUCGGCAAUGGACGAAAGUCUGACCGAGCAACGCCGCGUGAGUGAAGAAGGUUUUCGGAUCGUAAAACUCUGUUGGUAGAGAAGAACGUUGGUGAGAGUGGAAAGCUCAUCAAGUGACGGUAACUACCCAGAAAGGGACGGCUAACUACGUG